GGAAGUAAACGUAACAAGGUCUCCGUUGGUGAACCAGCGGAGGGACCAUUAAAGAGUUGCAAAGCUCCCAAACCAUUGUGAACAUACCUUCAACGUUGCUUCGGCGGGUUGGCCCCGGUCUCCGGGGUCCCCGGCCCUCACGGGCGCCCGCCGGAGGUACCUAACUCUUGAACUUUUAUGGCCUCUCUGAGUCUUUGUACUUAAUAAGUCAAAACUUUCAACAACGGAUCUCUUGGUUCUG
rnacentral:misc_RNA from 1 species